rnacentral:lncRNA from 1 species
CACAUAAUUAUAUAUAAUUUUAAUUUCAUAUUAACCAGAUUUCAUGCCUAAUAAAUAUCCAUAACAGGUCACGUUAUUCAUCAACCACAUAAUGUAAACCAUAGCUGCCCACAACACUCAUCAACCAUAUAAGAUAAGUUAUCUCAAGUUUUCAUUCAAGCCAACAUUACCAAGUCUGCUCGCACAAUUCAUGACAAGUCACCAUUAUACAAGGAACAACACACAUACAAUCUAGCUAAGUCAAAUGGCAGGCACAGGUCAUAUAUUGGCGUGAACAAUCUAACUAGCUAGAUUCACUACAAAAUGCCUCAUCUCCAUCUUAUCAAAAGAAAAAUGUCAUAUGUUUCCUUCCUCCAAGGCCUCCCUCAACCUGUAACAUCAAGAUGGCAUAGAAAAAAUUUUAGCAAGAAAAUGAAUACACAUGUAUCUAUAUUUGUGUAUCCCUGAAAACAGCUAGCUGAAAAUUAGACUAGCAAAAUGAUUUGCAUACAAUACACCACAAUUUGCAUACUAAUUGUUCCUUUUUUUUGCAUUCACUGACAAUUGCAGUUUAUUUACUCAAAAAAUUAGAAUCCAUAACAAAUUUUCUAAGGAUCAAUCUAAGUUUCAUGUAAGACAUCAAGCAGAUUUCAAUAUGAAAUAAAAAUAUAUAUCAUAAGCAACGACUAGGGAAACAGAAACCUACCAAUACAAACAAGUAGAGCUGCUGCCAAGAGCACAUUCAAAUGCCUUCCCAAGGUGUCCAAUUACACGUAGAGCAGCUGCAAUUACAAUAUGAUGAUGUCAGACUUGGCUGGUAUAUAUCAAC